rnacentral:tRNA from 1 species
GUUUCGGUAGUGUAAUGGAUCAGCACGGCAGAUCGGAUAGCUGUAAGUGCAGGUUCGAGUCCCGCCUGAGGUU